rnacentral:sRNA from 1 species
CAGACUGUAAAUCUGCCGUCAUCGACU